rnacentral:rRNA from 1 species
ACCACUUCUACGGAGGGCAGCAGGCGCGCAAAUUGCCCAAUGUCAAAAAAAAACGAUGAGGCAGCGAAAAGAAAUAGAGCCGACAGUGCAUUUUGUAUUGUCGUUUUCAAUGGGGGAUAUUUAAACCCAUCCAAAAUCGAGUAACAAUUGGAGGACAAGUCUGGUGCCAGCACCCGCGGUAAUUCCAGCUCCAAAAGCGUAUAUUAAU